rnacentral:rRNA from 1 species
UACGUAGGGUGCGAGCGUUGUCCGGAAUUAUUGGGCGUAAAGGGCUCGUAGGCGGUUUGUCGCGUCGGGAGUGAAAACCAUGGGCUUAACUCAUGGCUUGCUUCCGAUACGGGCAGACUAGAGGCAUGCAGGGGAGAACGGAAUUCCUGGUGUAGCGGUGAAAUGCGCAGAUAUCAGGAGGAACACCGGUGGCGAAGGCGGGUCUCUGGGCCAAAACUGACGCUGAGGAGCGAAAGCGUGGGGAGCGAACAGG